ACCCCCCUGUUCACUUUUUUAAAUGGAUUUAUGUCUUUAUUGCUCAUUAAUUGGGGUAAAGGAAAUAUCCUUUUAAAACUCAGGCAAACUGAGUGUUUGUCUUGUAUCCUGUCAGAGGAAAGAAAU
ensembl:snoRNA